rnacentral:pre_miRNA from 1 species
UUUUUAGUAUAAGUGUCUCCCAUGUAAUUUUGGGGACAUAUUUAUACUAAAA